GGUGAACCUAACGACCAUGAAUCUAAUGAAGACUGUGGAGUAACGUAUGGAAAAGAGUGGAAUGAUGUAGAUUGUGAAAGGAAACUAUCAGUAGUCUGUCAAAUAGGUAGAGAUAACUGUGUGAAUAUCCCUUGUGAUAAUGGUGGGAUAUGCAGCAACAGUAUUUAUGAUGACAAUCUACCAUACCGUUGUAAUGAUAGAUAUGAAGGAAAUACAUGUGAAAAAGAUUGCAAACCCUCUGCUGAUUUGCUAUUUAUCGUAGAUACAUCAGGAAGUGCUGAAGAUUUUUUGGAUACUAUAAACUUUUUAUAAAAAACAUCAUUACAAGGAUACAAAUAGGUCC